UACGUAGGGGGCUAGCGUUAUCCGGAAUUACUGGGCGUAAAGGGUGCGUAGGCGGUCUUUCAAGCCAGAAGUGAAAGGCUACGGCUCAACCGUAGUAAGCUUUUGAAACUGGGAAACUUGAGUGCAGGAGAGGAGAGUGGAAUUCCCAGUGUAGCGGUGAAAUGCGUAGAGAUUGGGAGGAACACCAGUGGCGAAGGCGACUUACUGGGCCGUAACUGACGUUGAUGCGCGAAAGCGUGGGGAGCGAACAGGAUUAGAUACCCUGGUAGUCCCUGAGCGGG
rnacentral:rRNA from 1 species